AUUGAACGCUGGCGGCAGGCCUAACACAUGCAAGUCGAGCGAGCGGCGGGCGGGUGAGAAAUGUAUGGGGACUGCCCGAUAGAGGGGGAUAACUACUGGAAACGCUAGCUAAUACCCCAUCCUAUCGGAUAACCCAUAUGGGAUUGGCUAGUAGGUGAGGUAAUGGCUCACCUAGGCGACGAUCCCUAGCUGUGCUGAGAGGAUGAUCAGCCACACUGUGACGGAGAUACGGCCCAGACUCGUACGGAGGCACCAGUGGGGAAUAUGGCACAAUGGGCGCAAGCCUGAUGCGGCCAUGCCGCGUGUAUGAAGAAGGCCCUAGGGUUGUAAAGUACUUUCAUUCGGGAGGCGUUACCGACAGAAGAAGCACCGGCUAACUCCGUGCCAGCAGCCGCGGUAAUUC
rnacentral:rRNA from 1 species